rnacentral:rRNA from 1 species
CCUACGGGUGACAGCAGUGGGGGAUAUUGCACAAUGGGGGAAACCCUGAUGCAGCGACGCCGCGUGGGUGAAGAAGCGCCUCGGCGCGUAAAGCCCUGUCAGCAGGGAAGAAAAUGACGGUACCUGAAGAAGAAGCCCCGGCUAACUACGUGCCAGCAGCCGCGGUAAUACGAAGGGGGCAAGCGUUAUCCGGAUUUACUGGGUGUAAAGGGGGCGCAGACGGCGAUGCAAGCCAGGAGUGAACGCCCGGGGCCCAACCCCGGGACUGCUCUUGGAACUGCGUGGCUAGAGUGCAGGAGGGGCAGGCGGAAUUCCUGGUGUAGCGGUGAAAUGCGUAGAUAUCAGGAGGAACACCGGUGGCGAAGGCGGCCUGCUGGACUGCAACUGACGUUGAGGCCCGAAAGCGUGGGGAGCAAACAGGAUUAGAUACCCCAGUAGUC